rnacentral:sRNA from 1 species
UAAGAAAGAGGGGGGGUGGAUGGCGUAGUGGUAAGCGCUGUUCAUGGAAUGCUUUCUCAAGUAGGCACUUGGUGUUGGGGCCAUCACUGCUGAGACAAGAAGGUAGUGGGUUCGAAUCCCACCUUCUCCAAAAGAAUAUUAUCACAUCUUGGUGGAUAUUGGGGGUACCCUUUCUUAUCUCAUUUCUAUUGGUAACUGCCACUGCAGGGUGGAGCAAUGUUCAACACUAUGUAUAUAGUCUAGAUGGAUUCAGUAUAGUGUGGGAUUCUAAGGUGUUGUGAUUCUUACAUAUCUAGUCCAAGUGACAAGGAACUUGUGAGGUGUAGUGACAGUGUGAAGAGUAACAGUAGAAGAUAGUUUAUAGUGUAGCAGAGAUAAUAGUAAUAUAUUGUAGAGUAAUAUAGUAUAGUAGUGUAAUAUAGCAUAGUGUAGUGUAGUGUAGCUAAUCACUAAGAAAGAAAAGAAAGAGAAAGAAGAUGUGUGAAAUACAUACAUCAAUAUAUAUAUACAUAUAGAAAUAGUGGUAGCGAGAGUAUAAUGAAAAGAGGUAAGAAUAAGCAA